rnacentral:rRNA from 1 species
ACUAGCAGUAAGAGUUUGAUCCUGGCUCAGGACGAACGCUGGCGGCACGCCUAACACAUGCAAGUCGAACGGCCCCUUCGGGGGCAGUGGCGGACGGGUGAGUAACGCGUGGGAACCUGCCCCUUGGUUCGGGACAACCCGGGGAAACCCGGGCUAAUACCGGAUGCGCUCCUUAGGGAGGAAAGAUUUAUCGCCGAGGGAUGGGCCCGCGUCGGAUUAGGUUGUUGGUGAGGUAACGGCUCACCAAGCCUGCGAUCCGUAGCUGGUCUGAGAGGAUGAUCAGCCACACUGGGACUGAGACACGGCCCAGACUCCUACGGGAGGCAGCAGUGGGGAAUCUUGGACAAUGGACGCAAGUCUGAUCCAGCGAUGCCGCGUGAGCGAUGAAGGCCUUAGGGUUGUAAAGCUCUUUCGCCCGCGACGAUGAUGACGGUAGCGGGAGAAGAAGCCCCGGCUAACUCCGUGCCAGCAGCCGCGGUAAUAC